UGAGCUUGAUCCUGGCUCAGGAUGAACGCUAGCGGCAGGCUUAACACAUGCAAGUCGAGGGGUAGAGUUCUUCGGAGCUUGAGACCGGCGCACGGGUGCGUAACGCGUAUGCAAUCUACCUUUUACAGAGGGAUAGCCCAGAGAAAUUUGGAUUAAUACCUCAUAGUAUAAUUGAAUGGCAUCAUUUAAUUAUUAAAGUCACAACGGUAAAAGAUGAGCAUGCGUCCCAUUAGCUAGUUGGUAAGGUAACGGCUUACCAAGGCUACGAUGGGUAGGGGUCCUGAGAGGGAGAUCCCCCACACUGGUACUGAGACACGGACCAGACUCCUACGGGAGGCAGCAGUGAGGAAUAUUGGACAAUGGGCGCAAGCCUGAUCCAGCCAUGCCGCGUGCAGGAUGACGGUCCUAUGGAUUGUAAACUGCUUUUGUACAGGAAGAAACACUGGUUCGUGAACCAGCUUGACGGUACG
rnacentral:rRNA from 1 species